rnacentral:rRNA from 1 species
UACGUAGGGGGCAAGCGUUGUCCGGAUUUAUUGGGCGUAAAGAGCGUGUAGGCGGCCUGAAAGGUCAGCUGUGAAAACUCGAGGCUCAACCUCGAGACGUCGGUUGAAACCAUCUGGCUAGAGUCCGGAAGAGGAGAGUGGAAUUCCCGGUGUAGCGGUGAAAUGCGCAGAUAUCAGGAAGAACACCCGUGGCGAAGGCGGCUCUCUGGAACGCAACUGACGCUGAGACGCGAAAGCGUGGGGAGCAAACAGG